UACGGAGGGUGCAAGCAUUAAUCGGAUUUAUUGGGCGUAAAGGGCGCGUAGGCGGGGAUAUAAGUCAGAUGUGAAAUCCUGGGGCUCAACCUCAGAACUGCAUUUGAAACUAUAACUCUAGAGGGUAGGAGGAGAAAACGGAAUUCCACAAGUAGCGGUGAAAUGCGUAGAUAUCGGGAGGAACACCAGUGGCGAAGGCGACUACCUGGCCUGUUUCUUGACGCUGAGGCGCGAAAGCUAGGGGAGCAAACGGG
rnacentral:rRNA from 1 species